UACAGAGGUCCCGAGCGUUGUUCGGAUUCAUUGGGCGUAAAGGGUGCGUAGGCGGUCUUCUAAGUUUGAUGUGAAAUCCCGGGGCUCAACCCUGGAAUUGCAUUGAAUACUGGAGGACUAGAGUACCGGAGAGGAAACUGGAAUUUACGGUGUAGCAGUGAAAUGCGUAGAGAUCGUAAGGAAGACCAGUGGCGAAGGCGGUUCUCUGGGCCUUACCUGACGCUGAGGAGCGAAAGCGUGGGGAGCGAACAGG
rnacentral:rRNA from 1 species